rnacentral:rRNA from 1 species
GACGAACGCUGGCGGCGUGCUUAACACAUGCAAGUCGAGCGGUAAGGCCCUUUCGGGGGUACACGAGCGGCGAACGGGUGAGUAACACGUGGGUGACCUGCCCUCAGCUCUGGGAUAAGCCUGGGAAACCGGGUCUAAUACCGGAUAUGACUCCAUGACGCAUGUUGUGGGGUGGAAAGCCUUGUGCGGCUGAGGAUGGGCCCGCGGCCUAUCAGCUUGUUGGUGGGGUGANGGCCUACCAAGGCGACGACGGGUAGCCGGCCUGAGAGGGCGACCGGCCACACUGGGACUGAGACACGGCCCAGACUCCUACGGGAGGCAGCAGUGGGGAAUCUUGCGCAAUGGGCGAAAGCCUGACGCAGCGACGCCGCGUGAGGGAUGACGGCCUGGUGUAACUCUUCUACGCUCGACGACGACGAGAGUGACGGUAGGAGCGAGAAGAAGAC